UGGGCACUGCCUCCUCCCGCCAAGCCAUCACAAACUUACAUCUACUAAAAGUCCCUCCCUUAAAGUUUUGAAUGUGUUCUUCUAAACUCUUACCGGGAAUCGAACUUACGACCUUGUGCUUGCCAGCAGUUGUAUAGAGGUGUACAGAAUCCAGCUGCUGUGUCUGUAGCAGAGAAAGGAGCUGCGUGCAACAGCAGCUGCCCAGGGGAGGUAGGGAGAGCUGCAUCAGCCCCGAGUGAGGAGGAGCACGAAAGCUGACUUGAAUCCAGAAACCGUGACUAGAAUAAGAUGUGGUCAAUGAGGAGAUAAAGCCAGAUGUGGAGAGCUUGAUCUUUCCUGCUUAUGCUGGUUAGAUUUUGGAAAUCUGGAAAUGGAUGGAGCUAUUGGAAUUUCAAGAAAGCUCCAUCUGGAAAAAUAAAUUUUAUGACCUGUGUCUAACACUUGAGAAGAUAGAGUGUGGAAGGAUAACAAAGGACAGCACAGCAGUAGUUCAGAAAUCCUUAAAGUGUGGAAUUCUCUGCCAAAUAAUUUUAAGUCAGUGAAAGCACUUGGGAUUGCUUUUCUUACUUUGUUUGGAUCAUCUUAUGCUUGUGGGCAGCUGUUUUCAGCUUUGAAUUAUAUCAAAUCUGAUAUAAGAAACAGACUAAUGGAUGACCUGAGAGCUGCAUGUGUUCUCAGACUAAAGAAGUGUGAGCCCAGGCUUAACAAAUUAUCAAUGUACACAUGACAGAGGUUACAUUAAUUGUGCAAAAGCACACCAAA